CUAGCGCACCAGGCCCAAUCCUCUCUGUCCUCGAGCCCCACGCCAUUCUCUUCCCUAUCCCCGCCGCCCGGCCUCCCCUGCUCCACGGCCGUCCUCCUCAGGGCCUCUCGCGCCGCCGUCUUCUCUGCCGGGCCUCCUCUCCGGGGCUCGAUGUGCAGUCGGGGCGAACUGCGUUCUCGAUCCAGCCGGCUCGGGUGUAGGUCGCCGGCAUCUGGCGCCGCGUGCCGUCAUUGAUUCUGUCUUCCUCCUCUUCUCCAUGCCACCGCCGCCUCCUCCUCUCCUUUCCUCGAUGUCGCCAGGGCCUCGCCCUCACUGGCUGCGGUGAUGGCGGCGUGGCGGAGCUCGUGGUCGGCCGGAGUCCUCUCCCGCGUCCGUCCCGGCGGGGCCGGCGACCUGCAGCCAAAGGGUGACAGCGGCUAGGAGAGAGAGAGAAGAUGAGAGGGAGAGAGAAGAGGAAGGGGACGAGAGAGAAAGAGAUAGGAAAUAGGAGACUAAAGCUUUUCCCCCCAAUCCCCUCACAGUCGCCGCCCCGAGCUCCUCUUUCCCUCCACUCCCCCGACACCGCCACUUGUGCUCGGCAGAAGGAGUGGCUGCGGUGAUGGCAGAUGCGUGAGGAGGAGGCCGUGGUCAUGGCGGCGCGACGGAUAUCAUGUCCGGGUGGCGCGGUUGGUCGAGGCGGACGUGCCAGCGCGCGGGGUCACGGUCGAGCUUGGCGUGAGGAGAGGGAGGAGAGGGACGGGAAGAGUGGGAGGCGCAAGGACAGCGGCGCUCGCCAUCUCUUCCUGUUGCACGUCCCCGGAUGCUAGAGAUUGAGGCCUUGGCAGGAGGAGCUCGAGCCGAGGAGCGCGACCUCGAUCCGGACUCAGCAUGAGGAGGGGAGCAGCAGCCGCGUCGGCCUCGUCGCAAUGUGUGCAGCAAGCUGAAGACGCGGCAAGAGCGGCGGUCAAGACCACUGUCGCGGCUUCAGGGGCUGCGCACCCGUCGAGCAACGGCAAGCGCAUCUCAUGUCGCACACCGAGGCAACAACAGAUGACAAGAUGCGAUGCCCCAUCUUCAGCUUGCAGCCUUGCAAAUAAUCUUAGGAACUUGGCAGAAGCUAUACAUAUGCAAAUAGAGGUUCAGACACAGCUCCAUGAACAGCUAUAGAUUGAGAAGUGAACUUUUGCUGUAUAAUUGCUUGCUGUGUGUCAUGUAAACUCUAGCUUUCUAGGCGUACAUGUACAUGUGCUCAACAACAGGAGAAGCACGAGCAGCCGAGCGUUCGCCUGGUUGCAGCUCGACUUCAGAUUUUGUUUUUCUAUGUCUACAAGUUGUUUGAUGAAAAUCCAAAAAGGCUGACAUGGGAGAAUUAAUCUAUGUAUUGAAGGAGCUCAGGAUGCUUUUAUUUCUAUUUACAUCAUGGACUUUAUUAUAGAACAACCACAGUGAAGAAGAUUAUCUCAUUUCUUUUGGAUGAUUUGGUUUAGUUGGCUAUUACGCAAGUCGGAAUGAAUUAACAAGUACAGAAAUGAAUAUCUCAGCAAAAAGGUAAAGUGGGUAACUACUAAACCAGAGGAUGUUGCAUGCCAUUUUUGUUCAUCGGCCUGGCAUGAUUUGGAUUGUUGUAGAGGUCGGCGUGAAUGAAGAGCUAGCUUGGGAAGACGCAGUCGAUUAUUAUUGCCUAUUUCUCUAUUGAAAGGUGUUGCUUCUUUCAUCUUGACAGUUCUCAGGUGGAAGGUGGUGACCAGCAACGCGCACGUGGACGAUGGCUGGGAUGUGCUAUUACCCGUGCACAGGACUCCCUAUUAUCUAUUAUGGGAAUGGUUAUUUGCCUGCUCUUGCAGAUAAAGCACCUGAUUUGAAUUAUCUACGAGAUAAAGUUAUGCAAGCUUCGGCAUGCUGGGAGUCCCCACUCUCAUGUUGUUGGAGCUGUGACAUACAUGUGGCGGGUAUCCUCAAUAGGGAGUAGCAAAUUGGAGGCCAAAGAAGCAAAUUUGUCCAAUUCUGAAACUAAAUUUUGUGAAGGAGGCCGAUGUUCAUUACAACACCAAUAGGAUGGGUGAAGGUCUGGAUGCAAUAAGAAUUGCACGUGGUAAACAGAUGCAAGAUUCCAGUGUUCUGAAGUCAUGGGAUGCAAGGCUAUGCAAUCUCUUAACAGUAUAUUGCACCCAAUUAGCAAGAUGAUCUACAUUUGGAACAAACUCUUGGAGGGGGAGACUUGGUUUCAACUGUUGAUGAGGCACUAUCCGAGGAGAGACAGUAGAUAAAUGCAAAUGUCCCCCAGAGCCAGAGGAGAUCCUUUCUAUGGAGAAACACCAUAUACGUACAUAAUCUUUACCUGGAUUCUAGAAACGACCAAGGAUAAGCAACUCAAGCGAAAGAUUGCUUUGGUCGAUCCUGCCGUGUUAUUCUUCUCAAACAUGCUAAAGAAAGGGAUGAUACAAUCAAUCCAACUGUUACCUUUGGUAUGCUUUUUGGAUGGACUAAUCUGAAGAUGCUGGCUAGCUUGCACCGCCAUCAUACAGUCUAGAAGAAAAGGCAAGGAUUACAGGGAAAAUAAAGGCAAUUCGCCAUCCGGAGAGCUGCCAACUAAUACAUUUUUGUACUUCCUCUGUUACAGAGUGUUCAGGUUAGUGCCAUAUAGAGUGAAGAACCCUUGGCAUCUUAUCUAAAUUCUUCAAUCCUAUAUUAUGUGUGCCCAGUUAAAGUUAAGUACCUUAUACCAGUACCUUAAUUAGCCUCUUCUGACUAUUGAUUGUUUGAACUAUUGUAGUAGGACUCAGACUUUCAAAGUUAUUAGGCAUGUGGACAUGUCUUUAUUUUAGUUUGUACAAUUUUGUGUUUUUUGGCUUCAGGUUGCUCCCGCCGAGAAAGCACAGUAAACUCAGAUGAUUUAAUUAGAAAAUACUCUUCAGCAUCUGAAACAUCUAAAGGCCGUCACUCAACUAAGUAUCUUAUAAAAUAUACACAGCUGGAAGAUUGGAGCAGUCCCAGCCACUAAUUAGUGUUCCUGUGUUGAAUCACUCAGCUAAGUAUCAACACUGCCCUCGAGACUUGACUAUUAGCAUAGUAGCAAAAAGCUCACACAAAAAAUCUACGGAUUCAUCAAACACCGAAGGAGGUUAGUUCUCACCUGAGUGGCAACGGCGGCUGCCAUGGUCUUGCUAGAGCAUCCCUUGCCGUGAAAAGUUACCAGCUUCAGGGAGUGCUGGCACAGCCGAAACUGACGCCACCUACGGCAGGGAGCGACAGCGGCAACUGAGGAUUUGGCUCGCCGGUACAAGCAACAGCGGCACCAUUUGCCGGUUCUGUGGCUCCAAGCUACAGCCGUAGCUGCCGGGCCACCAAGAUGCAGAUGGAGCUGCAACGCCUCUGAGCUGCAGCAGGAGCCGCUCUGCUGCCAAGCUGCAGCCCAAAGCGGCGGCGCCGGGCACCACCAGGUGCUUUCUCACUUACAAAGACGAUGAACUGGUGGAUGGAACAAGACCAACAGUCAACCAUGUGGUGACCUCUGGCGUUACAUUGUGACGCGUGUGUAUAGGUGUCGAGAGUGUGUGGUUCUUUGUCCCAAUGGCACAAUUGUAAUUUUGUUUAUCUUGCUAAUUUACACUGCAUGUACUGGUAUGAUCUGUACCGUUUCGUGAUAUCUAUUCCUACUUAUCUUGACUUCCUUUUAGCCUGUACCAUAUAAUAAUUAUAAUAAUAGGAUAUAAGUAUCUAUUAAGUUAAUUUUAAA